rnacentral:lncRNA from 1 species
AAAAUGCCCCUACCGUUAACUUAUUUUGAAAAAAAUGGCCCAACCGUUUUAAAUAUAAGUACAGUCAGUUGUUAGACUUAGGGGCACAAAUACGCCACAUUUUAACGGUAGAGGCAUUUUCUUCAAAAUAGGUUAACGCAGGGCAUUUUUAACCUGGAGUCAAUACGUUAGGGGCAGUUCUAACCCUUUUCCCUAAAAUAAAUACAUGUGUUAUUAGUAGUUGCCGUUCACUUCCCCUUAAGUAGGUUAUCACGUUAUAUUGGAUAAAUUUAUCAUUCGUUUGGUUGAAGAUACAAGCUAAAACUUGUACUAUUACUUUAUACUAAAACUUUGGAAUACCUUAUACCAUACAAUAGGUUGGACAAAUUAUUCAGGUGAUAGUCCUGAUUUUAAUGCCACAAUGAUAAUUCUAGGAUUUCAUGAUUUUGAACCCAACCACAGUGUACACUAAUAUUAUCACCUAUAGCGAUGGUUAUGUUCUUUUUAAGUGUUUUUAUUUUUCAAUAUUAUGACAAAUAUGAUGCUAUGCAUUUCCAAGAAAGAAGUUGUUUUGGGUCAUUUAAGGGGUUCUAGGUGUAGAAGUGUAAAGUUGGAGCGUGUAAAACGAUGCCCGCAAAAACAAAAAAAUUGCAAUAUAUAAAAUACCCGUUGAGCUUAAGCUAAUUAUCCUUCUUUAUUUAUUUGAAAAAUAAUAAUAAUAUAUAUUUAUUUAAUUAAAACUAAUUUCCCAAAAUAUCUACCUAUCAUAUUUUUCUUACCUAUUUGGCUGACAUAGCUUGAUUUGACUUGAAUUGGCUUGGAUUGAAUUGAUUUGGCUUGAUUUGAUUUUAGUAGCUUAAUUUGACUUUAUUUGAUUGAAAAGGCUGAACAUUGAAAAAAAUGAGUAGGGGGAAGAUCUGUUUUGAAGCGUUCACGUAGGAAAACAAAUACCAUCACAAGAUGUUAAAAGAAAUUAUUACUAAUUACAAACCAACAAAGAAGAAGGAAAAGCAUAUAUAUAUAUGGACAGAUGUAAGUGAUCAACGACCUAAAUGGUUUAUGAGAAAAUAUA